ACUCCUACGGGAGGCANGCAGUGGGNAAUAUUGCACAAUGGGCUGAAAGCNUGAUGCAGCCAUGCCAGCAGUGUGUGAAGAAGGCCUUCGGGUUGUAAAGCACUUUCCAGUUAGUGAGGUAAAGGGUNGUGUAGUUAAUANCUGCUAUUNCUGUGAACGUGUAACNACAGAANAAGCACCGGCUAACUCC
rnacentral:rRNA from 1 species